UACAGAGGUCCCAAGCGUUGUUCGGAUUCAUUGGGCGUAAAGGGUGCGUAGGCGGCGCCGUAAGUCAGGUGUGAAAUCUCGGGGCUUAACUCCGAAACUGCAUUUGAUACUGCCGUGCUUGAGGACUGGAGAGGAGACUGGAAUUUACGGUGUAGCAGUGAAAUGCGUAGAGAUCGUAAGGAAGACCAGUGGCGAAGGCGGGUCUCUGGACAGUUCCUGACACUGAGGCACGAAGGCCAGGGGAGCAAACGGG
rnacentral:rRNA from 1 species